rnacentral:rRNA from 1 species
CAGCAGCCGCGGGAACACGUAGGGUGCAAGCGUUGUCCGGAAUUAUUGGGCGUAAAGAGCUCGUAGGCGGUUUGUCGCGUCUGCUGUGAAAUCCCGAGGCUCAACCUCGGGCUUGCAGUGGGUACGGGCAGACUAGAGUGCGGUAGGGGAGAUUGGAAUUCCUGGUGUAGCGGUGGAAUGCGCAGAUAUCAGGAGGAACACCGAUGGCGAAGGCAGAUCUCUGGGCCGUAACUGACGCUGAGGAGCGAAAGCGUGGGGAGCGAACAGGAUUAGAUACCCGUGUAGUCCCUGUCUCUUAUAC